CCGGCGACCGGCGCACGGGUGAGUAACGCGUAUGCAACCUGCCCGUUUCAGCGGGAUAACCCGGAGAAAUCCGGCCUAAUACCGCAUGUGGCCGAGGGGAGGCAUCUUCUUUCGGCCAAAGGAGGCGACUCCGGAGACGGAUGGGCAUGCGUGACAUUAGCUAGUUGGCGGGGUAACGGCCCACCAAGGCGACGAUGUCUAGGGGUUCUGAGAGGAAGGUCCCCCACACUGGUACUGAGACACGGACCAGACUCCUACGGAAGGCAGCAG
rnacentral:rRNA from 1 species